rnacentral:rRNA from 1 species
UACGUAGGAUGCAAGCGUUAUCCGGAAUUACUGGGCGUAAAGCGUGUGUAGGUGGUUUGUUAAGUUGAAUGUUAAAUCUACGGGCUCAACUCGUGGGCUGCAUUCAAUACUGGCAGACUUGAGGAUGGAAGAGGUAAGCGGAAUUAGUAGUGGAGCGGUGAAAUGCGUAGAGAUUACUAAGAACACCAAUGGCGAAGGCAGCUUACUGGGCCACUCCUGACACUGAGACACGAAAGCGUGGGGAGCGAACAGG